GACGUAGGGUGCGAGCGUUGUCCGGAUUUAUUGGGCGUAAAGAGCUCGUAGGCGGCUCGUCGCGUCGACCGUGAAAACCCGCGGCUUAACUGCGGGCUUGCGGUUGAUACGGGCGGGCUAGAGUUCGGUAGGGGAGACUGGAAUUCCUGGUGUAGCAGUGAAAUGCGUAGAUAUCAGGAGGAACACCGAUGGCGAAGGCAGGUCUCUGGGCUGACACUGACGCUCAUGCACGAAAGCGUGGGGAGCAAACAGG
rnacentral:rRNA from 1 species